AUUCAUGGCUUCCACUUCCUCUUCACCUCCUGUUACUCUUUCUUCUACUCUUUCUUUGCCCAAAUCUUGCUCUUCUCAUACCACUAAUAAAAUUGAAAAUCUUGUAGAAUACUCCUACAUCCCUGAAUCCGCCCAAAUCAGUGAAUCUUCUUACCCUCUCCUCAGCCCUUACCACCUAUACAAACGUCCCAGUUCUUUUACCCGCAGUAUCCGUACUCUCAUAUCCACCCGCCGCCCUCACCCUAAAGAAUAUAUCCAGUCUUCUCGCCUGGAUCAAUGUUCUCUCCAAGCAACCCCUGCUGAGCAAUAUGUCACUCUCGAAAUACCUUCAGAGUUAAUUUCCAAUUGGAAACGAGAAGGUUACACUCAUCUCCAUCUUGGAGGCAUCAGAUUAAUCCUUACCCUUCAUGGGAGAAAAGGAUUACCAGUUACUGCUCGAAUUGCUAUGCUUGAUACCCGGUUUCAACAGUACCAAGAUACUGUUAUAGGUACGGUCCUCACAACCCUUCAUGCUGGAAGUGUUCUACUUACCUUUUAUCCAAACUUUAACCUUUCUCUUCAAGACACCAAUCUGCCUACAGCCUUGAAAGUUCAAGUUCAAAUUCAAGGUGCAGAACAAAUUUCCUCUGCCAAAAUUGCCACCUUACACCAUCAAUUGGUCUAUAGGCUCCAAAAUCAUGCCUUAGAUCUACCUACUCCAGAACACCACUCUGACACCCUCAUGGUGUUAGCAGAAUCUGACCAGAUCCCGACAAUCAUCCAGAUCCCACGACAAAUUCCCCGUCAUGAGCUCAUCAAGCUUAUGCCUCUUGAAUGGAUCUCACCAAACCAGAUAAGAAAUGGUCAAAAGUUUUCUGAUGCACAAGAUCCUUACUAGAAGGCAAGUGCAGAGCAUACUUCCUUAGGUUUUCUGCUGUACCGUACAUCCGCCUUGGCCGUACAGCAGGACGAGCAAAUCCAACAAAGGGAACUCACUCCAGACCAAUAAGAAUUCAAGGUUAAUGGGCCGAGAGUGGAGCACUAUAUGGGAGCUAAUGUGAACAACCUACAGAAGGAUCAAUUUUUUAAGGAUCCAGGUUGAGCAAACCAGAAAAGUCAAGCUGAAGGACCUAAAAUUAAGCGCUAAUUGGGAGGCAAAUCAAUAAAGGAAGUUGUUUCAAGUUUUUAAGGCAUUGAAUUUAGUUUUUAAAUUAUAUAAUUUUUCUUUUUGUUAUGUUAAAUGUGCAUAUAAUUUUUAUGUCUUUGUGUUAAAUCGUAGUAAGUAAAAAAAAUUAUGAAAAAAAAGAGCAGGAAUGAAUUGCUGGAGCAUCACUUACAGCAUGACAUAUAACAGAAGAUUCUCGAACAACAAAGGCAUUUCUUGCUUUACGAUAAGGAGCAUUUGAGAAGUGGAUCAAAUAAGAAGUGACCAUUUAUAGCCUGUGCUGCAGCAAUGCUUCCAGUAACAGGGGAGUACCCCCUACCCGCCAGUUUAUUUUACUUCUUUUUUAAAAACUUCUCUUUCAUUUAGUUUUUAAAAAAGAGCCAUACUCGUCCUUGAAAGUUUUUCUAAAUCUUUGUUUUUCAAAGCUCAAAGUGGUAUAAUUUAUGUCUUUAUUCUAUUUUGAUCUCUAGACUUCAGAUGCAGAGAGAAUUUCUCAUUCAUGGCUUCUACUUCAUCCUCUUCCUCUUCACCUCCUGUUACUCUUUCUUCUACUCUUUCUUUGCCCAAAUCUUGCUCUUCUCAUACCACUAAUAAAAUUGAAAAUCUUGUAGAAUACUCCUACAUCCCUGAAUCCGCCCAAAUCAGUGAAUCUUCUUACCCUCUCCUCAGCCCUUACCACCUAUACAAACGUCCCAGUUCUUUUACCCGCAGUAUCCGUACUCUCAUAUCCACCUGCCGCCCUCACCCUAAAGAAUAUAUCCAGUCUUCUCGCCUAGAUCAAUGUUCUCUCCAAGCAACCCCUGCUGAGCAAUAUGUCACUCUCGAAAUACCUUCAGAGUUAAUUUCCAAUUGGAAACGAG
rnacentral:lncRNA from 1 species